rnacentral:rRNA from 1 species
GUGCCAGCAAGCCGCGGUAAUACGGGGGGGGCAAGCGUUGUCCGGAAUUACUGGGCGUAAAGGGCGUGUAGGCUGUUGGGUAAGUCUGGUGUGAAAUGCUACGGCUCAACCGUGGCACUGCGCUGGAAACUGCCUGACUGGAGUGCAGGAGGGGUCACUGGAAUCCCCGGUGUAACGGUGAAAUGUGUAGAUAUCGGGGGGAACACCUGUGGCGAAGGCGGGUGACUGGCCUGCAACUGACGCUGAGACGCGAAAGCGUGGGGAGCAAACAGG